UAUUUGUUUUCUAUCACCAAACACGAACGCUUCUUCUCUGUUCUCAGUCUCACUCUGUUCUCUCACGCGACGGCGAGUCACGCCUCCGCCUCUCUCUGUCGAUUCACGGCCGCACGGCGGCGGCGCACGCCUCUGGAUCUCUCUCGUUCCUCGUUCGUGCCUCUUCCUGUUCUCCAAGACUCCAACGAACCAACAACGAAGCUCAGUGCUCUCCAACGAACCAACAACGACAGUGCCUCUCCCUCUCAACUGAUUGAAGCUCUCACUCUCAGUCACUCACUCAAAGUCAAAACUCAAAAGAACUGGCAGGAUUGUUGGACUCUUGUUAUUGUUGGUUUAAGUAAUUUGCUGGACUUUUGCAAGGUGCUGUUUAGCCUCACUGAUAUUCAAGGUCUGGAUCCGCCCCUGCCCUGAUCCCACUGCUAAUCUCACCCUCUCAAACCCCCUCCUCCGAAUCAGACGCCAAUCUCCUCUCCCACCGCCAUGAAACUCUGUGACAUUCCAAACCUCGAAGACGCCAAUGAAGCUGGUGGACCGAACCGUAAACAGUGUACCCUGAUAUUAACAGAGGGGAUUUCUGCGAUGAGCCUUGUUAUGGCUGCGCUCUCUGACGCGCAACGGGACUAUUUUGGUGUUUUUGCAUUGAAUGGCAAACCUCUAAAUGCGAUGAAGGCAAACCUUGAGGAGUUAAUUAAAAAGGUUAAAGCUCGAGGUAUAUUGAAAAUUCUCGGAUUUAAACCAGGGAAAGAGAGUAUAGACGAGUCCAUGGAGUCUUUUAGAUAUGGUCGGGUGAUGUUUAUGGCUGAUCAGGACUAUGAUGGAUCUCACAUCAAGGGGUUAUUGAUAAACUUCUUUUAUAUACUCAGCCCAUCACUGCUUAAAAUUCCACAUUUUUUGUCUGAAUUGAUCACUCCCAUAAUAAGGGCUUUUCAUUGCAAUGGGAUUCAAAAAUUAUCAUUUUAUUCAUAUCCCGAAUAUGAAAAAUGGUGGAAGAACUGGGGGAAUUCUGAUUGGAGAAUCAAGUACUAUAAGGGGCUGGGUAGCUUUACUCAUGAGGAAGGGAAAGAAUUCUUUCAAAAUGUUGAAAUUCAGAGAAAAUACUUUGUUUGGAGCAGCGAUGAGGAUGGAGAUGCCAUUAAUAUUGCAUUCUCGAAGUCAAAGACUAGAGAAAGGAGGGAAUUGAUGCUUAAAUUUAAGUCUAGCGAUUAUCGCGAUUAUACAGAUCUUAGUAUCUGCUACAAGGAUUUUCUACAGAAAGAAUUUAUAUUGUACUCGAUGGCGAGUGUACGGAGGUGCAUUCCUUCGUUGAUAGAUGGUCAGAAGCCCUCCCAAAGGAAGAUCCUUUACGGUGCAUUCAAGAGGGAGUUGUUCACUGAAAUAAGAGUGGACAAUCUUAUUGGUUAUGUAGCUGAGCAUUCUGCUUACCACCAUAGUGAAUCCAGUUUGGCUACCACCCUUAUAAGAAUGGCUCAAGAUUAUGUUGGCAGCAUGAAUAUAAAUCUCCUGAUGGCAAACGGUCAAUUUGGUACUCGUAACCAGUGUGGCUCAGACCAUGCAUCUCCAAGAUACAUAUACACUGAGCUUAACCCUAUUACUCGUUUCCUCUUCCCUGAGAUUGACAAUAAACUUCUCAAAUACUUGAAUGAGGAUGGAAUCUCAGUUGAACCUGAGUGGUACCUUCCUAUCAUACCUUUAGUGCUUGUCAAUGGUGUUAGCGGAAUUGCGACAGGCUGGAGUUGUUCCAUCCCCUGCUACAACCCCAAGGAUAUCAUUGCAAACAUCAAGCGUUUCUUAAAUGAUGACGAGUUGCAACCAAUGGUUCCCUGGUACAAAGGAUUUAAGGGAACCAUUGAUAAAAGUAAAGAGGGGGGGUAUGUAGUGAGUGGUAAAGUUGGAGUAAUUGAUGAUCAAAGUUUUAGAAUAACAGAGCUGCCCAUCGGCACCUGGACUCAAGAUUAUGAGAAGUUCCUUAAGGAUCAUCGUCUCAUUGAGGCUUUCUGGCAGAAUGGAGAUAAUAACAUGGUUGAUAUAAAAGUCAAACUGAAGCUGCAAAGAAAGAUGACGGAAAAGGAGCUUCUCGUUGAGUUCAAGUUGAUUUCCAAAAUCCCCAGAAGCGGAAUGCAUCUUUUUAAUAGGAAUGCGAGAAUUCAGAAAUAUGAUAGUCCUGAGCAAAUUCUUCAAGAAUUCUGUAAAUAUAGGCUUGAGUGCUAUGAUAUGAGAACAGCGCCUAAUGUUCGACAACUUAAAGACCAAGUUAGAUUCAUUUCAGAAGUUGUAUCUAACAAGAUUGUGCUGAGCAAAAACAUGAGCAAAGCUGAAUUGGUGUUGAAACUGAAGGGUAAUGGUUUCAAACCUUUGUCACAGAAAGGGGAAAAUGUUGGAGGCGCCAAAAACUAUGAACAUCUUUUGCCCAUGUGCACUUUGGCCUUUGAAAGUCUUAAGAAGCUGCAAGCUGAAAAGGAGAAGGAGUUGGAUAAUUUAAUGAGAGCAGAUCUGUGGGCUUAUCAAAAAAAAAAAUCUAUGGAUCUGUGGUUGGAGGACCUAUUAGAGCUUGAGAAAAAACUAAAUGUAGGGGAAGGUAUGUCCAGAAAUCUACAUUUUCCGGAGCAACUACUUGACUACUCUCAUAUUGAAGAGUAUAAGUUGUGCACUAAAUUGAAAGUAACAUUGAGAAGCUAUCAGCAGCAAGGUAUAAAUUGGUUAGCUUUUCUAAAGCGUUCCAAGCUUCAUGGAAUUUUAUGUGAUGAUAUGGGGCUUGGUAAGACACUUCAAGCAUCAGCCAUUGUAGCCUCUGAUAUAGCAGAACAUCAAGGGAAUGGUGAUCUUCUGCCAUCUUUAAUAAUUUGCCCAUCAACACUUGUUAGGCACUGGGCCUUUGAGAUAGAGAAGUAUAUUGAGGAUCCAGUGAUAUCUAGUCUUCAGUAUGUUGGUUCGGCACGGAUGCUUCUUCGAGCUAAUUUGUGCGAACAUAAUGUCAUUAUAACAUCAUAUGAUGUUGUCCGUCAAGAUAUUCAAUAUUUGGGAAAGCUGUUAUGGAAUUACUGUAUUUUAGAUGAAGGGCAUAUAAUCCAAAAUGCUAAGUCUAAGGUUACACUUGCUGUAAAGCAAUUGAAAGCCCAACACCGCUUAAUAUUGAGUGGGACACCAAUACAGAAUAACAUAAUGGAUUUGUGGUCUCUUUUUGAUUUUCUGAUGCCUGGUUUCCUUGGAGCAGAAAGACAGUUCCAAGGUACAUAUGGAAAACCACUUUUAGCUGCUAGAGAUCCAAAGCGCUCUGCUAAGGAUGCUGAAGCAGGAGCACUUGCUAUGAAGGCAUUGCAUAAGCAGGUUGUGCCUUUCCUCCUUCGAAGGACAAAGGAUGAAGUCUUGUCUGAUUUGCCGGACAGAAUAAUUCAUGACAUAUACUGUAAUUUGGGCGAUGUACAACGUAAACUUUAUGAACAGUUUUCUGAUUCUCGUGCAAAGCAAGAAAUGUCGUCUGUUGUAACGACAAACGAACCUGCUGCAGCAGAAGGAAGUAGCCAUACUACUAAAGCGGCUUCACAUGUUUUCCAGGCACUCCAAUACUUGCUAAAACUUUGCAGUCAUCCGUUGCUUGUUGUUGAUGGGAAGAUUCUAGAUUCAAUUCCUGGCUUAUUCCCAAAACUGUUUCCUGCUGGCUCUGAUGCCAAUUUAGAACUUGGGAAUCUCCGUCACUCUCCAAAAUUAGAUGCUCUUUUUGAAAUUCUUAAAAAGUCUGGAAUUGGAGUUGAUGCUUUUUGGGGCUAAUUUAUUUCUGUAGAUUAAUAAAUGGUUUACUGAAUUUGUCAUUUAACAAUAGCUUGUUUUGCAGGCUUUUCUAGAUAUAAUUGAAAAAUGUUUGUUUCAGACGCACAUGAAGAAUGUCAAAUAUUUGAGGCUGGAUGGAUCAAAUGAGCCAGAAACGCAUUUUAAAAUCGUCCAAGAUUUCAAUUCAGACCCUAACAUUAAUGUCUUGCUGCUU